CUUGUACACACCGCCCGUCACACCAUGGGAGUGGGUUUCACCAGAAGUAGGUAGCCUAACCGCAAGGGGGCGCUUACCACGGUGAGAUUCAUGACUGGGGUG
rnacentral:rRNA from 1 species